AUUGAACGCUGGCGGCAGGCCUAACACAUGCAAGUCGAACGAGUGGCGGACGGGUGAGUAAUGUCUGGGAAACUGCCCGAUGGAGGGGGAUAACUACUGGAAACGGUAGCUAAUACCGCAUACCAUCGGAUGUGCCCAGAUGGGAUUAGCUAGAAGGUGGGGUAACGGCUCACCUAGGCGACUAUCCCUAGCUGGUCGGGAUGGAUGACCAGCCGCACUGGAGCUAGAACACGGUCCAGACUCCUACGUGAGGCAGCAGUGGGGAAUAUUGCAAAGAGGGCGCAAGCCUGAUACAGCCAUGGCACGUGUAUGGAGGAGGCCUUCGGGUUGUAAAGUACUUUCAGCGAGGAGGCGUUACUCGCAGAAGAAGCACCGGCUAACUCCGUGCCAGCAGCCGCGGUAAUAC
rnacentral:rRNA from 1 species